rnacentral:rRNA from 1 species
AUUGAACGCUGGCGGCAUGCUUUACACAUGCAAGUCGAACGGCAGCGCGGGCUUCGGCCUGGCGGCGAGUGGCGAACGGAUGAGUAAUACAUCGGAACGUGCCCAGUAGUGGGGGAUAGCUCGGCGAAAGCCGGAUUAAUACCGCAUACGACCUGAGGGUGAAAGCGGGGGAUCUUCGGACCUCGCGCUAUUGGAGCGGCCGAUGGCAGAUUAGCUAGUUGGUGGGGUAAAGGCCUACCAAGGCGACGAUCUGUAGCUGGUCUGAGAGGACGACCAGCCACACUGGGACUGAGACACGGCCCAGACUCCUACGGGAGGCAGCAGUGGGGAAUUUUGGACAAUGGGCGAAAGCCUGAUCCAGCAAUGCCGCGUGUGUGAUGAAGGCCUUCGGGUUGUAAAGCACUUUUGGCGGGAACGAAAAGGACUGUGCCAAUACCACGGUUCGAUGACGGUACCCGCAGAAUAAGCACCGGCUAACUACGUG